rnacentral:rRNA from 2 species
GGUUAAGCGACUAAGCGUACACGGUGGAUGCCCUGGCAGUCAGAGGCGAUGAAGGGCGUGCUAAUCUGCGAUAAGCGCCGGUAAGGUGAUAUGAACCGUUAUAACCGGCGAUACCCGAAUGGGGAAACCCAGUGUGAUUCGUCACACUAUCAUUAACUGAAUCCAUAGGUUAAUGAGGCGAACCGGGGGAACUGAAACAUCUAAGUACCCCGAGGAAAAGAAAUCAACCGAGAUUCCCCCAGUAGCGGCGAGCGAACGGGGAGGAGCCCAGAGCCUGAAUCAGCAUGUGUGUUAGUGGAAGCGUCUGGAAAGGCGCGCGAUACAGGGUGACAGCCCCGUACACAAAAGCGCAUGUGCUGUGAGCUCGAUGAGUAGGGCGGGACACGUGGUAUCCUGUCUGAAUAUGGGGGGACCAUCCUCCAAGGCUAAAUACUCCUGACUGACCGAUAGUGAACCAGUACCGUGAGGGAAAGGCGAAAAGAACCCCGGCGAGGGGAGUGAAAAAGAACCUGAAACCGUGUACGUACAAGCAGUGGGAGCACAGGUUUACCUGUGUGACUGCGUACCUUUUGUAUAAUGGGUCAGCGACUUAUAUUCUGUAGCAAGGUUAACCGUAUAGGGGAGCCG